GAUGAACGCUGGCGGCGUGCCUAAUACAUGCAAGUCGAGCGGACAGACGAGGAGCUUGCUCCUCUCACGUUAGCGGCAGGCGUGUGAGUAACACGUGGAUACCCUACCUAUAAUACUGGUAUCACUUCGAAAAACCGGAGCAAAUACGGUAGAAUAUCUUGCACCACGUGGUUCAAUAGUAAAAGACGGUUUUGCUGUCACGUAUCGCUGCAUCCGCGCCGCAUUAGCUAGUUGGUAAGGUCACGGCUUAUGAAGGCAACGAGGCGUGGCCGACCUGUGAGAGUGAUCGGCCACACGGGAACGGAGACGCGGUCCAGACUACUAAGGGAGGCAGCAGUAUGGAAUGGUCCGCAAUGGGCGGAAGCCUGACGGAGCAACGCGGCGUGAGUGAUGAAGGCCUCCGGAGCGGAAAACUCUGUUAUGAGGGAAGAACAAAUGUGGAAGGAACUAUGCACGGCUUGACGGUAAUGAAUCAGAAAGCCACGGCUAACUACGUG
rnacentral:rRNA from 1 species